rnacentral:lncRNA from 1 species
CCCACAUUUUCAAAGAGGACCAAUGACAUCAUGGGGCAAUGUCUUGAUUUGUGCCUGAAUUCGAUUGAAGUGAGGCGGAAAGACACAGUCACUCUCUCCCAGAGUCAUCAAAGUCCAAUGGCAAUACACAAUUCUGGAUGCCUGGCAAUGGGUGGUCUUAUAUACCAAGAGGAUAUUGAUUUAGAAAUUUCUUUCUGCCAGGUAAUCAGGCCCUGGACCCUGCCAUAGGAGUUCAUCCUUCCUAAGUGUUACCAGCUGGCUUCCCAAGAGAAGGUGAUUUUUCCCCCUUCCUGCUGUCACACUCAUUAUGACAGUACCUUACAGCCUCCCCUUUGUUCGAAUGGCAGUUAUUACAUUGGGCUUAAUGAAAAGGGAACUAACAAGUAUAACUAAUCUGAUUAGUCCAAAUGAAUUAUCACUUUCUGUAGGAGAACAUGCUCAGUAGGGAAAGUGUUUAGACCAAUGCUGGGCUUCAAACACCAUCACAUCCUGCAAUGGGCCUGGGAAAAGCCUAGUGUCGUGGCGAUAUACAUCUAUACUUCUCAGGUCCUAGGUCAGCCCUCUAGGGUCAAGCAACUCCUUCCUCCACAUGGCAGUCCAUUAAAUACUUGAGGAAAGUAUGUGGUCCCUUCUCUUCUUCAGCCUAAAUGUCCCCAGGUGCCUGAACAUGGAUUGGUGUAGCAAGAGAGCUAAAAAUCUCACCAUCAGAAAAUGUGGAUUGGAAUUCCAGUACAGAACAAGCUGGGAAUUCGGACACACAGAAAGAUUUCUGGACCUGAUUUUUUUUACUCAGAAGGAAAGAAUACAAGGGGAUCCAUCCCAAGGAAAUUUUCUUCUGGAUCUGAUUUUUAUUAGCAAAAAGAAAUUGGUUGCUGGAAUGGGAAUGGUGAGAACCUUGAGAGGAAAAUGACUGUUCUAUCUUGGAAUCAGAAAGAAAGAAAAAAUGAAAGCUGGGAAUAAUCUAACAUUUCUCCUAGAUCAUAAAAGAAUGGGUAUCAAGGUGUUCAAAUGAAGGAUUGGUAGGAUCCUAUCAAAUAAAAUUCCUCAGGUAAAAUGAACCCA